CCUGAAAGAUCGCUAACCUCAGAAAGUCAGGGACCAAACAAUUGUUCGAAGAACCCCUGUAGCCGCAGCUGCAAACUGAUUUGGGAUUAGGACCCAGAGAGGCAGGUUUGGUCCAUGGCAGGGGCCGGGUCCUCUCAGUGUCGGGAUUUCUAACUCGAACUGGCCUCCGCGAGGUGAGGGAGGAAAGAAGUCAGAGGUCCCUGAACUUCUUAACUCUGUCCCUCCAGGACCCAGUGAAGAGUAUCACAGCCCAGAUCCAAGCUCGCUAGAUUGAACUGCAGGAGGAACUGCAGAUUUACGCCUAGCCCAGCUGUGGUGGCAUAGAGAUAGGACCUGUGGCCCCCAGGGCUGGACUGUCAGGAAUGAUGGCUGCUAUUUUUGCCUCUGGUUUCCACACAUGGACUUGCUCCCCAUUAUGCCUGAGAAAUUGAGGCUGUAGAGAACACCCAAGGCUUCAGCAGGGCUCUGUGUCUCUUCCAGGCCCACGUAGCAGAGACAGGUGUCUAUGUAUUGCUGCACCAACACUAGACCCAGGGAGAGGAGCUACCCAGGACUCCUACCUCCUCUGGCUAGUUUGAACCAAAGCCAUAUGUUGGAGGAGUCAGAAAAGAAACCAGAAAGUGGAGGAGGAGGUGGGGGAGAAAAGCAGCGAAUCUGCCCUUGUGUGACACACACUUUAGGUCCCAGGACGGCAUCUGAAAUGGUUCCGAGGAUGCUGGGAUUACAAGUAUAUGCCUCUACACCUGGCUUCCAAGAGCCAGCCCAGCCAGAGACGUGGAAUGAAAUAAUAAAGGCAUCUGUCUGUCAUCGUGUUGCUUGGCUCCCUGCCUCUGUGGGGAUGUGUUCACAGAACCUUGAUGAGAGCAAGGAGGUGGGACUCUGCAUACAACUAUUGAAAAGCAGGACCCAACUGUACCUAGCAUCACAGGCAGCCUGCUUUCACCCUGGUUGGCUCACCCCAGCUUCAGGCCCCCUGAAGUUGGGAGGAUGCUGUGAGGCAACCAGGAAAUGUGGCUGUUGGUAAAGGAUGGGGCUGGGUAUCGGGGAACCAGCAGAUAAGAGCAACACAGCACAUGGCAAUGUUUAGAUGGAAAAUCCUGAAGAGCACGAGGCCACCAUCCCAGUCCCAGGCACAGUGAGGCUGGCCCUGGAGAGGAGCAGAGGCGGUUGUCAGUGGAGGAGAAGCAGCGGUGCCGCUGUGUCCUGCGUGGGCUCUCUUCCCAGGGAGGGGGCAGUCCUCCGGAGGGGCAGGAGGCGUGAAUUUGAUGCUGCUACUUGCAGUAGCUUCUGUCCUGGGACAGGAUCAAGUCCCGUGUCAGUAAUCUUCCACCACAUCAAUCAGCUCCUCAACACCU